rnacentral:lncRNA from 1 species
CUGGGAUCACGUCCUGAGCCGAAGGCAGACGCUUAACGACGGCGCUACCCAGGCGCCCCUGAUAAGCUAAUUCUUGUACCCUUUUUUUCUGUUUAUGAAAUUAUAGAUCCAAAUACAAAUAGGUGUUCAGCUGCUUACAUAAAUCUAAUUCCAGUAAUACCAAAAUAACCCUAAAUCUGCAACAGAUGCAAGGAUGCCCCCUGGGGCAAAUGUUAAGUGUGAUGACAGCUGGGCAUCAGUUAAUACACUUGUCACCUGCUCAUGGGAUAGGAUCAUGAGAGGUUUGGCAAAGGGACAAGUAACCUAUUGAACACCCUGCACAAAACUUAGUUGAUAUCAAGUGAAAAUAUUUGUGGAAGAGUUUUUUGUUUUUUUGUUAAAUUAUUAUUUCACUUGACUAUUCUGCCUUAUCUAUCUAGUGGCCUGUUUGGAGUCAUAGCUUCCCCAGGAGUUUGGAGGAAGCUAGUAAAAUGGCAGUCCACUGUCCUCGUUUGUGAAGCUGUCAGUCAAGGUGAGCAAGUAUGGGAAGCAGGAAGACUCAUCUUGGCGGAUGACCAGGUGGACAGGAGAGGAGGUGACGUGUGUCUGAUAUCCUGAGGAGAGCUGCCAUCGUUGCUGUCGCUCUUCCGGGAUUCCGUAUUAUCCUUGCUCAGCUCACCCAGUCCUUGGAUCUGUU